rnacentral:lncRNA from 1 species
GCGGCGGCGACUUGAAUGCCUCAGUCAUCGUCUCCACCAGCUGCUCCGACUUCGUCCUCACCAGCCCCGACAAGCUACUCGCCGCCUUCUCCAUCUCCGCCGCUGAAGAUGAAGAAAAGACACUAAAAAAAUUACUAACCAAACUCUAAAUAAAACAUCUGGGGGGUUGAAAUGUUAUGGGAGGAGAAACUUACUGACCUUGGGGUUCUGCUUUGAGAGAUGGGUGAUAAAAAAGUUACCAACUUUCGAAUAUAAGUGUUGUCGUUGAGAGGGGAAAAAUUGCGAACUUUCUCGAGUUACCAUGUUCCUCAACGACAUUGCAACUACUUAUAUAGAAGGCUAUGGAUAUGAGGUGG